AAUAAAGAGUUUGUUGUCACAGACAGACAGAUUAUUUAUUUGAGUCUCACCUCACUUGUAAAAUACAGGACACAUAUAAGCUAUAAUACAGAAUAAAAGUGAGCUACCCGUUUAGGGUUAUGAGAGACUAUUGUAGACUUUAAGAACAAACAUAAAUAUACACCAUGAGUGAGUGAGUGAGU